rnacentral:rRNA from 1 species
UAAUUGUUAAUGGUUGAUUAGUUUUUACAUGUAGUUCAAUUGUAAAUAUUAAUAUUAAUGACGGUAUUUUUUAUAUUCUGAGGAACUUGUUUUUGUAAGUUGAUGGUACACAAAAGAUCUUUCUUAUAUUUAAGUUGGUUAGAAAUAGCUUUAAUCUUGAUAAUUUAUGUAUUGCUGUUUAAUUUAUUUUUUAAUAGUAAAAAUUAAUAAGUGUAAGGAAGGAAUUUUAUGUUAUGAAAUUCAAGUCAAAAUGUAGUUUUUAUAUAAGUUUAAAAUAGGUUACGUUUAUAUAGUAUUAUUUAAGGGAAAAUUGAUACUGAAAAUUUUUAUGAAAUUUGAAGAUUUAAUGUUGGAUUAGAUUGUAAAUGUUUAAUUAGUAAGUGAUGUUGAUAUUUUUAAAAAUAUGU